rnacentral:lncRNA from 1 species
ACUACUCUGAUCUGAUAGCCAACUACUCCUACAAGCUCCCAAAAGCUUGUAGGGGAGCCUUAAAGACAACUACCAUCAGAAUAUAUUGGUGACAGGUGAUAAGAAGUUGAUUGGAGAUCACUGUUGUGGAAUUUUUGAUUGCAGCUUCUGUGCUAAUUCCUCUUGACCAUGCUGAUUUUUCUUGCACUCAUGCAUUGGUUUUCCAGGGUAAUACUAACUUUCCUGUCUCCACCAGAGGAAACAAAAAGGCAAAUGUUUUCUAUGCUAUUAAGGUAAGAACUAUGUGUUAGCUGUGAUUACGUUUUUAAAUCUUUGUUCCUACAGGAAAACUGCCUCUUUCCCUUCUGGUCUCUUAUGAUCA